rnacentral:rRNA from 1 species
ACAGCAGUCGCCACGGUAAUACGGAGGGAGCUAGCGUUGUUCGGAAUUACUGGGCGUAAAGCGCGCGUAGGCGGUUACUCAAGUCAGAGGUGAAAGCCCGGGGCUCAACCCCGGAACUGCCUUUGAAACUAGGUGACUAGAAUCUUGGAGAGGUCAGUGGAAUUCCGAGUGUAGAGGUGAAAUUCGUAGAUAUUCGGAAGAACACCAGUGGCGAAGGCGACUGACUGGACAAGUAUUGACGCUGAGGUGCGAAAGCGUGGGGAGCAAACAGGAUUAGAUACCCGUGUAGUCCCUGUCUCUUAUAA